GGCCCCAUCGUCUAGCGGUUAGGACACUAGGUUUUCAGCCUAGGAACCGGGGUUCGAUUCCCCGUGGGGCUGCCA
rnacentral:tRNA from 1 species